rnacentral:rRNA from 1 species
CCUACGGGUGGCAGCAGUAGGGAAUCUUCCGCAAUGGACGAAAGUCUGACGGAGCAACGCCGCGUGAGCGAAGAAGGUCUUCGGAUCGUAAAGCUCUGUUGUUAGGGAAGAACAAGUACGGGAGGAAAUGACCGUACCUUGACGGUACCUAACGAGGAAGCCACGGCUAACUACGUGCCAGCAGCCGCGGUAAUACGUAGGGGGCUAGCGUUAUCCGGAAUUACUGGGCGUAAAGGGUGCGUAGGCGGCCCUUCAAGGCAGAGGUGAAAGGCUACGGCUCAACCGUAGUAAGCCUUUGAAACUGGAGGGGUUGGGGGGAGGAGAGGGGAGUGGAAUUCCCAGUGUAGCGGUGAAAUGCGUAGGGAUGGGGAGGAACACCGGUGGCGAAAGCGGCUUUCUGGUCUGUAACUGACGCUGAGGCGCGAAAGCGUGGGGAGCAAACAGGAUUAGAUACCCGGGUAGUC